rnacentral:rRNA from 1 species
UACGUAGGGUGCAAGCGUUAAUCGGAAUUACUGGGCGUAAAGCGUGCGCAGGCGGUUCGCUAAGACAGAUGUGAAAUCCCCGGGCUUAACCUGGGAACUGCAUUUGUGACUGGCGGGCUAGAGUAUGGCAGAGGGGGGUAGAAUUCCACGUGUAGCAGUGAAAUGCGUAGAGAUGUGGAGGAAUACCGAUGGCGAAGGCAGCCCCCUGGGCCAAUACUGACGCUCAUG